rnacentral:rRNA from 1 species
UACGUAGGGUGCAAGCGUUAAUCGGAAUUACUGGGCGUAAAGCGUGCGCAGGCGGUUUCGUAAGUCUGACGUGAAAGCCCCGGGCUCAACCUGGGAAUUGCGUUGGAGACUGCAAGGCUUGAAUCUGGCAGAGGGGGGUAGAAUUCCACGUGUAGCAGUGAAAUGCGUAGAGAUGUGGAGGAACACCGAUGGCGAAGGCAGCCCCCUGGGUCAAGAUUGACGCUCAUGCACGAAAGCGUGGGGAGCAAACAGG